rnacentral:rRNA from 1 species
CCUACGGGAGGCAGCAGUGAGGAAUAUUGGUCAAUGGACGAGAGUCUGAACCAGCCAAGUAGCGUGAAGGAUGACUGCCCUAUGGGUUGUAAACUUCUUUUAUCAAGGAAUAAAACGUGGCACGUGUGCCUUUUUGCAUGUACUUUAUGAAUAAGGAUCGGCUAACUCCGUGCCAGCCGCCGCGGUAAUACGGAGGAUCCGAGCGUUAUCCGGAUUUAUUGGGUUUAAAGGGAGCGUAGAUGGGUUGUUAAGUCAGUUGUGAAAGUUUGCGGCUCAACCGUAAAAGUGCAAUUGAUACUGGCAGUCUUGAGUACAGUUGAGGUAGGCGGAAUGCGGGGUGUAGCGGUGAAAUGCUUAGAUAUCACGAAGAACCCCGAUUGCGAAGGCAGCUUACUAAACUGUGACUGACAUUGAUGCUCGAAAGUGUGGGUAUCAAACAGGAUUAGAUACCCGAGUAGUC